rnacentral:misc_RNA from 1 species
CGGUCCCUGCCCCGGGCAGCGACGACGUCUCGAGCAAGCCCCUUCAGUUGUUGUGUCAAGAGCGCCAUGCCUUGGCCUACGUCGGUUUCCUGUGCUGAAUUCCUAACGGAUGGCAAUCUUUCGUCCACGAACGUCCCGUACUCCUCCUCUCGUCGCUGCUCCUCGAAGAGACGCGGCGCGGGGAGGACAUCAAAGCCGCCGUCGUGUCUCGCCGCCCACGCAGCCCGCUCGCACGGGCGCGCUAGGGCGGUCGACCCACGACGUCUUGCUCGAUCUCUCGGAUGCGGAAAACCAAGCGGCCACGAGGCCACGGCCUCCGCUGCCCCUUAGAAGAGCGUCCCACGCUCCCUGCGGACGACUGUCGGUCGGGUCUUGCCCCGGAGCCCCUGCGGCUCCCGGAUCAUGCCCGGCAGGCGUCGACGAGGAAUGCUACCUGGUUGAUCCUGCCAGUAGUCAU